rnacentral:rRNA from 1 species
AGAGUUUGAUCAUGGCUCAGAUUGAACGCUGGCGGCAGGCCUAACACAUGCAAGUCGAACGGUAACAGGAAACAGCUUGCUGUUUCGCUGACGAGUGGCGGACGGGUGAGUAAUGUCUGGGAAACUGCCUGAUGGAGGGGGAUAACUACUGGAAACGGUAGCUAAUACCGCAUAACGUCGCAAGACCAAAGAGGGGGACCUUCGGGCCUCUUGCCAUCAGAUGUGCCCAGAUGGGAUUAGCUAGUAGGUGGGGUAACGGCUCACCUAGGCGACGAUCCCUAGCUGGUCUGAGAGGAUGACCAGCCACACUGGAACUGAGACACGGUCCAGACUCCUACGGGAGGCAGCAGUGGGGAAUAUUGCACAAUGGGCGCAAGCCUGAUGCAGCCAUGCCGCGUGUAUGAAGAAGGCCUUCGGGUUGUAAAGUACUUUCAGCGGGGAGGAAGGGAGUAAAGUUAAUACCUUUGCUCAUUGACGUUACCCGCAGAAGAAGCACCGGCUAACUCCGUGCCAGCAGCCGCGGUAAUACGGAGGGUGCAAGCGUUAAUCGGAAUUACUGGGCGUAAAGCGCACGCAGGCGGUUUGUUAAGUCAGAUGUGAAAUCCCCGGGCUCAACCUGGGAACUGCAUCUGAUACUGGCAAGCUUGAGUCUCGUAGAGGGGGGUAGAAUUCCAGGUGUAGCGGUGAAAUGCGUAGAGAUCUGGAGGAAUACCGGUGGCGAAGGCGGCCCCCUGGACGAAGACUGACGCUCAGGUGCGAAAGCGUGGGGAGCAAACAGGAUUAGAUACCCUGGUAGUCCACGCCGUAAACGAUGUCGACUUGGAGGUUGUGCCCUUGAGGCGUGGCUUCCGGAGCUAACGCGUUAAGUCGACCGCCUGGGGAGUACGGCCGCAAGGUUAAAACUCAAGUGAAUUGACGGGGGCCCGCACAAGCGGUGGAGCAUGUGGUUUAAUUCGAUGCAACGCGAAGAACCUUACCUGGUCUUGACAUCCACGGAAGUUUUCAGAGAUGAGAAUGUGCCUUCGGGAACCGUGAGACAGGUGCUGCAUGGCUGUCGUCAGCUCGUGCUGUGAAAUGUUGGGUUAAGUCCCGCAACGAGCGCAACCCUUAUCCUUUGUUGCCAGCGGUCCGGCCGGGAACUCAAAGGAGACUGCCAGUGAUAAACUGGAGGAAGGUGGGGAUGACGUCAAGUCAUCAUGGCCCUUACGACCAGGGCUACACACGUGCUACAAUGGCGCAUACAAAGAGAAGCGACCUCGCGAGAGCAAGCGGACCUCAUAAAGUGCGUCGUAGUCCGGAUUGGAGUCUGCAACUCGACUCCAUGAAGUCGGAAUCGCUAGUAAUCGUGGAUCAGAAUGCCACGGUGAAUACGUUCCCGGGCCUUGUACACACCGCCCGUCACACCAUGGGAGUGGGUUGCAAAAGAAGUAGGUAGCUUAACCUUCGGGAGGGCGCUUACCACUUUGUGAUUCAUGACUGGGGUGAAGUCGUAACAAGGUAACCGUAGGGGAACCUGCGGUUG